GGGUUGUGAGGUUAAGCGACUAAGCGUACACGGUGGAUGCCCUGGCAGUCAGAGGCGAUGAAGGACGUGCUAAUCUGCGAUAAGCGUCGGUAAGGUGAUAUGAACCGUUAUAACCGGCGAUUUCCGAAUGGGGAAACCCAGUGUGUUUCGACACACUAUCAUUAACUGAAUCCAUAGGUUAAUGAGGCGAACCGGGGGAACUGAAACAUCUAAGUACCCCGAGGAAAAGAAAUCAACCGAGAUUCCCCAGUAGCGGCGAGCGAACGGGGAGCAGCCCAGAGCCUGAAUCAGUGUGUGUGUUAGUGGAAGCGUCUGGAAAGGCGCGCGAUACAGGGUGACAGCCCCGUACACAAAAAUGCACAUGCUGUGAGCUCGAUGAGUAGGGCGGGACACGUGGUAUCCUGUCUGAAUAUGGGGGGACCAUCCUCCAAGGCUAAAUACUCCUGACUGACCGAUAGUGAACCAGUACCGUGAGGGAAAGGCGAAAAGAACCCCGGCGAGGGGAGUGAAAAAGAACCUGAAACCGUGUACGUACAAGCAGUGGGAGCACGCUUAGGCGUGUGACUGCGUACCUUUUGUAUAAUGGGUCAGCGACUUAUAUUCUGUAGCAAGGUUAACCGAAUAGGGGAGCCGAAGGGAAACCGAGUCUUAACUGGGCGUUAAGUUGCAGGGUAUAGACCCGAAACCCGGUGAUCUAGCCAUGGGCAGGUUGAAGGUUGGGUAACACUAACUGGAGGACCGAACCGACUAAUGUUGAAAAAUUAGCGGAUGACUUGUGGCUGGGGGUGAAAGGCCAAUCAAACCGGGAGAUAGCUGGUUCUCCCCGAAAGCUAUUUAGGUAGCGCCUCGUGAAUUCAUCUCCGGGGGUAGAGCACUGUUUCGGCAAGGGGGUCAUCCCGACUUACCAACCCGAUGCAAACUGCGAAUACCGGAGAAUGUUAUCACGGGAGACACACGGCGGGUGCUAACGUCCGUCGUGAAGAGGGAAACAACCCAGACCGCCAGCUAAGGUCCCAAAGUCAUGGUUAAGUGGGAAACGAUGUGGGAAGGCCCAGACAGCCAGGAUGUUGGCUUAGAAGCAGCCAUCAUUUAAAGAAAGCGUAAUAGCUCACUGGUCGAGUCGGCCUGCGCGGAAGAUGUAACGGGGCUAAACCAUGCACCGAAGCUGCGGCAGCGACGCUUAUGCGUUGUUGGGUAGGGGAGCGUUCUGUAAGCCUGUGAAGGUGUGCUGUGAGGCAUGCUGGAGGUAUCAGAAGUGCGAAUGCUGACAUAAGUAACGAUAAAGCGGGUGAAAAGCCCGCUCGCCGGAAGACCAAGGGUUCCUGUCCAACGUUAAUCGGGGCAGGGUGAGUCGACCCCUAAGGCGAGGCCGAAAGGCGUAGUCGAUGGGAAACAGGUUAAUAUUCCUGUACUUGGUGUUACUGCGAAGGGGGGACGGAGAAGGCUAUGUUGGCCGGGCGACGGUUGUCCCGGUUUAAGCGUGUAGGCUGGUUUUCCAGGCAAAUCCGGAAAAUCAAGGCUGAGGCGUGAUGACGAGGCACUACGGUGCUGAAGCAACAAAUGCCCUGCUUCCAGGAAAAGCCUCUAAGCAUCAGGUAACAUCAAAUCGUACCCCAAACCGACACAGGUGGUCAGGUAGAGAAUACCAAGGCGCUUGAGAGAACUCGGGUGAAGGAACUAGGCAAAAUGGUGCCGUAACUUCGGGAGAAGGCACGCUGAUAUGUAGGUGAAGUCCCUCGCGGAUGGAGCUGAAAUCAGUCGAAGAUACCAGCUGGCUGCAACUGUUUAUUAAAAACACAGCACUGUGCAAACACGAAAGUGGACGUAUACGGUGUGACGCCUGCCCGGUGCCGGAAGGUUAAUUGAUGGGGUCAGCGCAAGCGAAGCUCUUGAUCGAAGCCCCGGUAAACGGCGGCCGUAACUAUAACGGUCCUAAGGUAGCGAAAUUCCUUGUCGGGUAAGUUCCGACCUGCACGAAUGGCGUAAUGAUGGCCAGGCUGUCUCCACCCGAGACUCAGUGAAAUUGAACUCGCUGUGAAGAUGCAGUGUACCCGCGGCAAGACGGAAAGACCCCGUGAACCUUUACUAUAGCUUGACACUGAACAUUGAGCCUUGAUGUGUAGGAUAGGUGGGAGGCUUUGAAGUGUGGACGCCAGUCUGCAUGGAGCCGACCUUGAAAUACCACCCUUUAAUGUUUGAUGUUCUAACGUUGACCCGUAAUCCGGGUUGCGGACAGUGUCUGGUGGGUAGUUUGACUGGGGCGGUCUCCUCCUAAAGAGUAACGGAGGAGCACGAAGGUUGGCUAAUCCUGGUCGGACAUCAGGAGGUUAGUGCAAUGGCAUAAGCCAGCUUGACUGCGAGCGUGACGGCGCGAGCAGGUGCGAAAGCAGGUCAUAGUGAUCCGGUGGUUCUGAAUGGAAGGGCCAUCGCUCAACGGAUAAAAGGUACUCCGGGGAUAACAGGCUGAUACCGCCCAAGAGUUCAUAUCGACGGCGGUGUUUGGCACCUCGAUGUCGGCUCAUCACAUCCUGGGGCUGAAGUAGGUCCCAAGGGUAUGGCUGUUCGCCAUUUAAAGUGGUACGCGAGCUGGGUUUAGAACGUCGUGAGACAGUUCGGUCCCUAUCUGCCGUGGGCGCUGGAGAAUUGAGGGGGGCUGCUCCUAGUACGAGAGGACCGGAGUGGACGCAUCACUGGUGUUCGGGUUGUCAUGCCAAUGGCACUGCCCGGUAGCUAAAUGCGGAAGAGAUAAGUGCUGAAAGCAUCUAAGCACGAAACUUGCCCCGAGAUGAGUUCUCCCUGACUCCUUGAGAGUCCUGAAGGAACGUUGAAGACGACGACGUUGAUAGGCCGGGUGUGUAAGCGCAGCGAUGCGUUGAGCUAACCGGUACUAAUGAACCGUGAGGCUUAACCUUACAACGCCGAAGCUGUU
rnacentral:rRNA from 1 species